rnacentral:lncRNA from 1 species
AUCACACCUCAAUUCCAUUUCUUCUCUCACAGCUCCUUUCUCCAUUCAUACUUCCUGUCUCUUCAUUGAGGAAUAAAACAUCCUGGUUUAAGCUCAGAACAUAGGAAUGAAAAUAGGGAAGAAAAUAUGUGAACAAUGCACAGUGUUCUCUCCAAAAUGGCAAGAACGUCAUCUCCUAGAAAAGCACUCAGAAGUCCUUGGCCUUUGGGAAAAAAGAGCUUGCGGAAGAUGACAUUGGUUCAUUGUCCUUAAAAGGCAGAACAGGCCUCCCACUAUUGAAAACAGCUCAUUCCCUUCCACACCUGGUCCUCAGAUCAUGCUUGGGUGCCCAGGCUCCUGUGCUUAAUCUUUCUUAACUGGAUCAUCAGUGCUUGGGAAAUGGGCAGGAUAACAAUUUAAAGAGAUAAUUGACUGCACAAAUCAGCUCAUCCCUUCAAGGGAUAAAUUUUCUCACACUUUCUGGUUCUGUAAUAGGUCAGGGCUGUUGGAGACAGAGCUGGCUUUUUCCCUGAUGUCCAGGGUCCUGAAAUGAAGUAUGGCUGGGCCACUUGACUGGGAGUGCAGUUACAGAAGCCAAUGCUGGUGCUGCAGAGAGCGCAAUGCCCAAAGUGGGUGCAUCUCUGAUGGUGUAAAGGAUGAAGAACAAGCUCUGAGGAAGGUUAGCAGGAAGCUCGAUUCAAGUCACCAGCAGAAAACAGAGUUGCCUUCAUGUCUUUACUCUCAAGGUUCUGCAGGCUCUGGAUUUUCUGCUGAAACUGGUAAUGGGAGAAACAGGAUUGAAUAAGGAAAUCUACACUAGAUGCUGGGAUUUACAUCCCCAGCCCGUCACUCAAACUGCCUCCUUCCACAAGGACUGAGAUGCCAAACUUCCCAGGCUCACUACUCUCAGGAUGAUAGAACUAAUACCCCCAACUGCUUGGCCUGCCCUCACAAACAGCACUUGCCAUUGUCAUCUAGAAAGCCACAUUCCUCACCAGAGCCUUCACUUGCUGCCUGGCUGGUCCUUGACAUGCUCCUCCAAUCUGGAUGUUUCUCUUGCCAUAGCGGAAACCUGAAUCUUGUUAAAUGGAGAUGGGCAAUACAGGCAAUGGAUCCUUCAGGUCUCCUUCUUCCAAGCAAAUGUAGCCCUGGGAACACUUUCAUUGAAAAGAAAGAAGAGACAAAGUGACUGGUGACUGGUGAUACAAAAUCAGAAUAGGGAUAUUGGUAUUUUAUCUUCCAAUAUGUCUUCUGGACUUCUUGGUGAUACUACUAAUCAGGCGGGAGUGCUGUUGUCCCAUAUACUGCAUUUGUAUGACUCAGAAAAAGAAGCCCAUUCCUCCAGGAAGAAUCAGCCUUGGGCAUCUUGCUUGAGGAGGAGAGCAUGGGCUCAAUUUCUAUUGCAGUGACUAGCUUCUCCAACCCAAACCAGCUACUCUUCUCCAAUGAACAACCUGAACAUCCACACAUGGUGGACCUGUGAAUAGACCUUUGUUUUACAAGUUGCUGUGACUGAAAUGGCUGUGAAAUGAGGACUAAACUGACCGCAAGCAUUGUGCACAAUGAGGUAUACUUAAGGGGAUGUGUGUGUGUGUGUGUCCUGGUAAAUAACUGAAUUGCCAAAGAUGUCUACAGAAGUCCAAGGUGGGUAACAAGAAUGAGAACCAACAAAGGCAGCAUCUCCUAAAAUGUGUUUAGCAGGACCAACUUACCAGGAGAUAAUGAAAAAGCAAGAGGUGGACCUCAAGUCAUUAGGAGAGAAGAAAAUUAAAACCAGACGAUUGGCCCACUGGUGAUAAGUUGCCUGGAAUAAUCAGAGAAUUUGAAGGCUGGCUUGGUUAUCCCUGGAAUCUGGCCCAAUUCUGGUUUAUAGCAAAUGUUGUUAACUAGGGGGUCCAUCAGUGACCUUCAGGGGACCUGUGAACCUCCUGAAAUUACAGUAUUAUUUUGCAUGUAUGUGUGCAUACACACUUUUGCUGUGGAGGGUCUUAGCAGUCAUCAGAUUAUCGGAUUAAGAACUGGUCUCGGCCAGGCACGGUGGCUCACGCCUGUAAUCUCAACACUUUGGGAGGCCGAGGCAGGCGGA